AAGAGAUAAGUGCUGAAAGCAUCUAAGCACGAAACUUGCCCCGAGAUGAGUUCUCCCUGACUCCUUGAGAGUCCUGAAGGAACGUUGAAGACGACGACGUUGAUAGGCCGGGUGUGUAAGCGCAGCGAUGCGUUGAGCUAACCGGUACUAAUGAACCGUGAGGCUUAACCUUACAACGCCGAAG
rnacentral:rRNA from 2 species